GAGCUCUUUCCGUCUCAGGUCGCCGCUGCGAGACGAGCCGCCGCCAUGUCUGCGCAUCUGCAAUGGAUGGUCGUGCGGAACUGCUCCAGUUUCCUGAUCAAGAGGAAUAAGCAGACCUACAGUACUGAGCCCAAUAACUUGAAGGCCCGCAAUUCCUUCCGCUACAACGGGCUGAUUCACCGCAAGACCGUGGGCGUGGAGCCGGCAGCCGACGGCAAAGGCGUCGUGGUGGUCAUUAAGCGGAGAUCCGGCCAGCGGAAGCCUGCCACCUCCUAUGUGCGGACCACCAUCAACAAGAAUGCUCGCGCCACGCUCAGCAGCAUCAGACCCAUGAUCCGCAAGAACAAGUACCGCCCCGACCUGCGCAUGGCAGCCAUCCGCAGGGCCAGCGCCAUCCUGCGCAGCCAGAAGCCUGUGAUGGUGAAGAGGAAGCGGACCCGCCCCACCAAGAGCUCCUGAGCCCCCUGCCCCCAAAGCAAUAAAGAGUCAGCUGGCUUUCUCAAAAAA